AGUUCGGAUCGGAGCCUGCAACCCGGCUCCGUGAAGCUGGAUUCGCUAGUAAUCGCGCAUCAGCCAUGGCGCGGUGAAUACGUUCCCGGGCCUUGUACACACCGCCCGUCAAGCCAUGGGAGCCGGGGGCGCCUGAAGUGCGGUACCGCGAGGGCCGCCCAAGGGCGAGACCGGUGACUGGGGCUAAGUCGUAACAAGGUAAC
rnacentral:rRNA from 1 species